rnacentral:lncRNA from 1 species
CGGGGAUGUCAGAAUUAGGGAAAGGAUAGGCCUUCGCUUCUAACUCCUUCAAAAUUGGCUGGCUUUUCUCUUAUCUCGGCCACGGACUUAGAGCUUUUUCUUUCAACUUUUGCUUAGUGGGGGCCUUUACAGAAGUUGUUCCCACCGCCAUGGAUUCUUUAGUUUGGUAUUUUGAUAGUUGAUUGAAUUCUUUAGCUUUCUUACUCGGAUCGAAAAUAGGUGAAGUCUUUUCGUGGCUUACAAUACUCAACUCCAUGUCAUGAGCUCGUGUCGCCAAUUCUUCAAAAGUAUGUGGCGUGAUUCCUUGGAGGAUAUACACAAG